CAGUCGCCGCGGUAAUACGUAGGGUGCAAGCGUUAAUCGGAAUUACUGGGCGUAAAGCGUGCGCAGGCGGUUCUAUAAGACAGAUGUGAAAUCCCCGGGCUCAACCUGGGAACUGCAUUUGUGACUGUAGAGCUGGAGUGCGGCAGAGGGGGAUGGAAUUCCGCGUGUAGCAGUGAAAUGCGUAGAUAUGCGGAGGAACACCGAUGGCGAAGGCAAUCCCCUGGGCCUGCACUGACGCUCAUGCACGAAAGCGUGGGGAGCGAACAGGAUUAGAUACCCGCGUAGUCCCUGUCUCUUAUAC
rnacentral:rRNA from 1 species